ACAUUUCUCCUCAUUUCAGAUACCUGGAAGGAAACCUCCUGACAUCUGUUCCCAAAGAACUGUCCAGUCUGAAACAGCUAUCUCUUGUCGACCUGAGCAACAACAGCAUCACCACCGUGGCCUCCAUGACCUUCAGCCACAUGACUCAGCUCGCCACUCUGAUCCUGAGUUACAACCAGAUUCGGUGCAUCUCGAUACAC